rnacentral:lncRNA from 1 species
AUGAGGAUAUGUUAGUGUGGAGAGGCGAACCUUCAGGUGUUUUCUCGGUGAGAAGUGCUUAUAAGCUACUCCUUAAGGGUGGUCGAGACAAUCAACAUACAGAUUUUCAUAAUACCAUGAAAGGCCUUUACAAAAAUUUGUGGAAACUAAAAUUAACUACAAAACAGAAAAUUACAGCUUGGAAAACUUUCUGGAACUUUCUGCCUACACUAGUUAAUCUCUAUAAUAGAAGAAUUGAGGUUAACACAAUAUGUCAUAGAUGUGGAGGGGGUCCAGAAACUGUAGGCCAUGUGGGAUUGUCCUGUCAUAGUGGAAAUAUGGAAUAUGCUUAACCUCGUUUGGAUACUAUCUCAACCUCUGCUAAAUACAAGGGAAUGGCUAACCUGGGUUUUUCAUAAUGGCUCAGUUGAUAGCUGCAGGAAGAUCUGUUGUGCGACGUGGGUAACCUUGUAUGAGAGAGACAAGGAGUAGAAAUGUACUUGGAUAGAGCCGUACCGGAUUUCGUAGUGUGGUCGCUGGGCUCGGGGACUCCAACGGGAACGAGAACUGAACUGAGCUGUAACACUUUUGUUCUUGAAUUGGUGAGGAGUGCAAAAAUGAAGAUUGAAUGGUUAGGGUAACUGUGCUCUGUGGAACUGGAAUCAUCAAGCAGAAAAUGAGCAUUCUAGAAGGAGACGAUUUGCCAGUUUUCAAAUCAGGCUGGCUGUAUCUUUAAUGCUUUUGUCCUUUUAAGGUUCUUUUUUGUUCUGAGCCAACUCCGAGGUUUUUUACUAAAUUAUUAUAAAAAAUAAAAAAUAUCUAAAAUAUUAUAUAUUUUUUAUUUACCAAAAUAUACAAAAAAACAGAAAAAAGCUGCGCCGAUGUGACAGGACCCUGGUGGAGGGUUUGUGAUUGGCGGCACCAAAGGUGCCUAACUGAUUGGCGGCACCGAUGGUGCCAUACUGGUUGGCGG